AGGGGUUACAGCCUGACAUUUCAGUCGCUAUAAACAAACCUGCAGGAAGCCAAACUGUGAAGAACACCGUGUUUCUGUGGGUUUUAUUUCAUUUAGGAAUCAACUCCGUGCUUUAAAGCGAUUAUAAUUCAUCUAAAAGGUCAUAUUAAUCAUGGCGGAUUCGGAUUUAGGUAGAGCAGAAAAAGCAGACAGAUCUGCAGACCCUUACGAGAGAACGGUGACGUAUCUGGAGAGCCAUAACAUCCUGCAGAUAUUCCAGGAAAUCACAGAGAGCCUGGUUUAUGACAGACCUGAUGACCCCCUGCGGUUUAUGUUAGAGCAGGUGCAGAAGAAGAUCCAGGCGCGAGAGUCGAGUGAAGCUGCGAAAGCUGAAUCGUUUCCUCACUAACGGCUCUGUGCAGCGUACAAUGAAGAGGGAGCCAGAAGCGCGGGGCUGAAAAACAAGAGACGUCUCUCCGUCCUGGUGGAUUAAGUACCGACGAGAAUUGGAUUUCGGUGUGUAAGGUUAGAACAGAACCUGUUUUUUUCUUUUCUUUUCUUUCUUUCUUUUU